GAUGAAAUUUAGUGGCCAAUGUAACAAUAUUGGGAGAUGAGGCCUUUAAAAGGUAGUUAGGUCAUGAGGAUAGAGUACUUCAUUAAUCCGUUAAUGGAUUAAAGCUGUUAUUGAGGGAAUGGGCUAUGGAAAAACAAUGAAGUUUGGCCUCCAUUUCUCUCUCUGUCUGGUGCAUUCACUUGUCCUUUUGCCACAGGAUAACACAACACAAAGGCCCUCACAAGAUGCCAGAGCCAUGCUGUUGAACCUCCUGGCCUCCAGAACUGUAUUUUAGCAAGCCGUUGGGACAGCCUGUAGCAUGGACUGCUAGUCAGGUCCAAUUAAUGGAAGAUGGGACCAUAUGGUUGUCAGUUACAGUGACGUGGUAAGAAGAUCAUGCUUUGUGUCUUCAGUCCAAGUGCUUUACAACCAUGAAGCUUCUCAGUACCUUUGCGAACUAGGUAAGGAAUUUUCUAUACUCUGCUUUCCAUUCCUGCCUCAAUCUAAGUAAGACUGCUGCUGCUGAUUAUCUUUAAAUAUGUAAUGAUAACUAUGAAUUUAAAAUGUCUAUGUUUCCUCAGGAGGGACUGUAUUCUCUGUUUUAUGGGAUGUCUUAACGAGGAAAAGGGCCACAUCUCUUCAUCAUGUCACUUCUCUUGUGUCUGUUAAAGUGACCUCAUUCACAAAGCAAAUGCUGAGGCAAAGGCCGUUCUUAGUAUGAACAUACAUGAGGAUGACUUCAGUGUCCUCUCACAACCUGCUGCUGAAAGUGGGAGAGAAGAAGUACUUUCAACACAAUAGGUCAACUCUGGUGGCUUUGCCCUUGCCCUUUCUUUACAGUGACUUGUCUCUGGGGUUAUAGCCUAGGGAGGAGCUGGCAAAGACUGAUGGUUGUGACAUAACAUUGGUUUUGUAUUCAUAGUUACAGGGAUGUCAGGUGUGUAAGGGGAAGGUGUUGCAAGAUGACAAAAUAAUGCUUUGUUUGAAUGUAUAAGUGGCUGGUGGGGUUUUUGAGCUCAAAGAGAAAUGAAACACACAAUUUUGUGCAGUAUUGUGCGACUCAAAGAAAUAUUGAGACAAUUUGGACAGUAGGCAUCUGGAUGGCUAUGUAUUUUGUGGCUCAAGCUGAUUAAAAUUUCUGUAUCUUGUACACAUAGUACCCUGUUAGCUAAGUAAAAUUUGAUUCCUGUAGAUGUUUACAGCUAUUAACUGUGAGACCUUUGCAAAAAUUAUUUCUGCUAAAUUAUACUUCACUGUUGCUGAAUUAUACUUUACUGUUGCCUUGUUGGCUUUCAGAGUGGCAUAAUGCAAUAAACAGGCAGGUAAUAUCACUUCUCUGUUAUUUACAAGACUGCUAUUUAAGACAUUAUUAUGUUUCUUUAUAUAGCUGAUACAAUUUUAAUAUAUUCAUUUUAGAAUUUGGUACCAGAAAAAUGUGUUUUUUUCCAAAGUUUUGAUAUAAGAAUUAUGUAGCCUAUCUUAUUUGAUUUGUUGCCCUGACUCUCAGGAAGCUUAAAGAUAAAUAAUGACAGUGAUGAUACAUUCUUUAUAUAAUGAACCAAUUUAUUUUAUCAUUUUUAUACACCAGUCAAAUCUGGUGGAACCUGAUAUUUCAGUCAUGCAAGAUGUUAUGCUCACUUACAUGGACCUAUUGGCUGUAUAACUCAUAUGCUAGUAAGACUUAAAAUGUCUCUUGGUUCUGGAAAAUAGGUUGAGAAAUCUUUUGGCACCAGAAUGAUUAAAUCCUACCUGAAGAAAAAUGUAAGACAAAAAAGAAUGAAAUUAUGGUCCCCUUGCUCAUUGAUUGGAGGCAGCACAGUGUACCCUGGUAGAAAAAACCCCAGAUUUAGAUGUAGAAUGACUUGAAUUUGAAAAAUAGCUCUUAGGCUUUUUAUCUGUAUAAUUCAGGGUAUAUUGUUAGCAUUCUUGAAUUUUAGUAUUCUGUUUGUGGAUUAUUUAAAGUUCUUAAGGAGGUGCCUUGCACAAAGUAG
rnacentral:lncRNA from 1 species